rnacentral:rRNA from 1 species
GAUGAACGCUGGCGGCGUGCCUAAUACAUGCAAGUCGAGCGAACGGACGAGAAGCUUGCUUCUCUGAUGUUAGCGGCGGACGGGUGAGUAACACGUGGAUCACCUACCUAUAAGACCGGGAUAACUUCGGGAAACCGGAGCUAAUUCCGGAUAAUAUUUUGAACCGCAUGGUUCAACAGUGAAAGACGGUCUUGCUGUCACUUAUAGAUGGAUCCGCGCUGCAUUAGCUAGUUGGUAAGGUAACGGCUUACCAAGGCAAGGAUGCGUAGCCGACCUGACAGCGUGAUGGGCCACGCCUGAACUGUGACGCGGUCCAGACUCCUACGGGGGGCAGCCGGAGGGAGUCUUCAGCAGUGGGCGAAAGCCUGAAGGAGCCACGCGGCGUUAGUUAUGAAGCUGCUCGGAUCGUGAAACUCUGUUAUCAGGGGAUGACAUAAGCGUAGGGAAAGGUGCUGACCGGGACGAUACCUACUCAUAAACGUCCGGCUAAACACGCG